rnacentral:rRNA from 1 species
GACGAACGCUGGCGGCGCGCCUAACACAUGCAAGUCGAACGGAGCUGCGAGAAGCUUGCUUUUCUUAGCUUAGUGGCGAACGGGUGAGUAACGCGUGAGUAACCUGCCCUGGAGUGGGGGACAACAGUUGGAAACGACUGCUAAUACCGCAUAAGCCCACGAUCCGGCAUCGGCUUGAGGGAAAAGGAUUUAUUCGCUUCAGGAUGGACUCGCGUCCAAUUAGCUAGUUGGUGAGGUAACGGCCCACCAAGGCGACGAUUGGUAGCCGGACUGAGAGGUUGAACGGCCACAUUGGGACUGAGACACGGCCCAGACUCCUACGGGAGGCAGCAGUGGGGGAUAUUGCACAAUGGGGGAAACGCUGAUGCAGCGACGCCGCGUGGAGGAAGAAGGUUGUCGGAUUGUAAACUCCUGUCGUUAGGGACGAUAAUGACGGUACCUAACAAGAAAGCACCGGCUAACUACGUG